rnacentral:rRNA from 1 species
GGAAAGGCAGCAAUCUGCCACUUAUGGAUGGACCCGCGGCGCAUUAGCUAGUUGGUGGGGUAACUUGUAUUAGUGGCUCACCAAGGCGACGAUGCGUAGCCGACCUGAGAGGGUGAUCGGCCAUUGAUCUCACUGGGACUGAGACACGGCCCAGUCCUACGGGAGGCAGCAGUAGGGAAUCUAAUCCAGUUCCGCAAUGGACGAAAGUCUGACGGAGCAACGCCGCGUGAGUGAUGAAGGUUUUCGGAUCGUAAAGCUCUGUUGCCAGGGAAGAAUGCUGAGAGUAACUGCUCGCAAGGUGACGGUACCUGGUACUGGAGAAGAAAGCCCCGGCUAACUACGUGCCAGCAGCCGCGGUAAUACGUAGGGGGCAAGCGUUGUCCGGAAUUAUUGGGCGUAAAGCGCGCGCAGGCGGCCUUGUAAGUCUGUCGUUUAAACUCGGAGCUCAACUUCGAGUCGCGAUAACUGCAAAGCUUGAGUGCAGAAGAGGAAAGUGGAAUUCCACGUGUAGCGUUUGAUCGUGAAAUGCGUAGAGAUGUGGAGGAACACCUGGCGAAGGCGACUUUCUGGGCUGUAACUGACGCUGAGGCGCGAAAGCGUGGGGAGUUUAGUCCAAACAGGAUUAGAUACCCUGGUAGUCCACGCCGUAAACGAUGAAUGCUAGGUGUUAGGGGUUUCGAUACCCUUGGUGCCGAAGUUAACACAUUAAGCAUUCCGCCUGGGGAGUACGGUCGCAAAAUGGUCGACUGAAACUCAAAGGAAUUGACGGGGACCCGCACAAGCAGUGGAGUAUGUGGUUUAAUUCGAAGCAACGCGAAGAAUAGUCCCCCUUACCAGGUCUUGACAUCCCUCUGACCGGUCUAGAGAUAGGCCUUUCCUUCGGGACAGAGGUUUAGUCAGACAGGUGGUGCAUGGUUGUCGUCAGCUCGUGUCGUGAGAUGUUGGGUUAAGUCCCGCAACGAGCGCAACCCUUGAUCUUAGUUGCCAGCACUUUGGGUGGGCACUCUAGGAUGACUGCCGGUGACAAACCGGAGGAAGGUGGGGAUGACGUCAAAUCAUCAAUGUCAUGCCCCUUAUGACCUGGGCUACACACGUACUACAAUGGCCGAUACAACGGGAAGCGAAGCCGCGAGGAGCCAAUCCUAUCAAAGUGGCCAUGUCG